rnacentral:lncRNA from 1 species
UCGAGCAAAAAAACAAACGAUGUCAAUUAGCAAAACAAUCAAAUCUAAAGGAAAGGUAGAAGAAAAGCAAAUGAAGAAUGAAAAGGAAGCGGAGGUAACAAAAUAGAAUGUCAAUGUCAAUCGCUCUAUCUUUGUUUGAUUGUUGUAUCUUUGUCAAUGUCUAUCUGAAAUUUCUUUUUCUAUCUUUGUCAAUGUCUAUCUGAAUAUUUCUUUUUCUAUAUUUGUCGAUCUUUGUAAAUGUCUUAUAUCUUUUCCAUCGGUCAAAUACCAUCCAAAUGACCUAAUUAUGGAAGAUGAAUACAAAAAUCUUAGAAUUUGUAAAUGUCUUAUAUCUUUUCCAUCGGUCAAAUACCAUCCAAAUGACCUAAUUAUGGAAGAUGAAUACAAAAAUUUUAAAAUUACUAUAUCCUA